UACGUAGGGUGCAAGCGUUGUCCGGAAUUAUUGGGCGUAAAGAGCUCGUAGGCGGUCUGUCGCGUCGGUUGUGAAAACUCGGGGCUCAACCCCGAGCCUGCAAUCGAUACGGGCAGACUAGAGUGCUGUAGGGGAGACUGGAAUUCCUGGUGUAGCGGUGAAAUGCGCAGAUAUCAGGAGGAACACCGGUGGCGAAGGCGGGUCUCUGGACAUUUCCUGACGCUGAGGCACGAAAGCCAGGGGAGCAAACGGG
rnacentral:rRNA from 1 species